rnacentral:rRNA from 1 species
CGGAGAGUUUGAUCCUGGCUCAGGACGNACGCUGGCGGCAUGCCUAAUACAUGCAAGUCGAACGAGCUUCCGUUGAAUGACGUGCUUGCACUGAUUUCAACAAUGAAGCGAGUGGCGAACUGGUGAGUAACACGUGGGGAAUCUGCCCAGAAGCAGGGGAUAACACUUGGAAACAGGUGCUAAUACCGUAUAACAACAAAAUCCGCAUGGAUUUUGUUUGAAAGGUGGCUUCGGCUAUCACUUCUGGAUGAUCCCGCGGCGUAUUAGUUAGUUGGUGAGGUAAAGGCCCACCAAGACGAUGAUACGUAGCCGACCUGAGAGGGUAAUCGGCCACAUUGGGACUGAGACACGGCCCAAACUCCUACGGGAGGCAGCAGUAGGGAAUCUUCCACAAUGGACGAAAGUCUGAUGGAGCAAUGCCGCGUGAGUGAAGAAGGGUUUCGGCUCGUAAAACUCUGUUGUUAAAGAAGAACACCUUUGAGAGUAACUGUUCAAGGGUUGACGGUAUUUAACCAGAAAGCCACGGCUAACUACGUGCCAGCAGCCGCGGUAAUACGUAGGUGGCAAGCGUUGUCCGGAUUUAUUGGGCGUAAAGCGAGCGCAGGCGGUUUUUUAAGUCUGAUGUGAAAGCCUUCGGCUUAACCGGAGAAGUGCAUCGGAAACUGGGAGACUUGAGUGCAGAAGAGGACAGUGGAACUCCAUGUGUAGCGGUGGAAUGCGUAGAUAUAUGGAAGAACACCAGUGGCGAAGGCGGCUGUCUAGUCUGUAACUGACGCUGAGGCUCGAAAGCAUGGGUAGCGAACAGGAUUAGAUACCCUGGUAGUCCAUGCCGUAAACGAUGAGUGCUAGGUGUUGGAG